AGUGAACGCUGGCGGUAGGCCUAACACAUGCAAGUCGAACGGCAGCACAGUAAGAGCUUGCUCUUACGGGUGGCGAGUGGCGGACGGGUGAGGAAUACAUCGGAAUCUACUUUUUCGUGGGGGAUAACGUAGGGAAACUUACGCUAAUACCGCAUACGACCUACGGGUGAAAGCAGGGGAUCUUCGGACCUUGCGCGAUUGAAUGAGCCGAUGUCGGAUUAGCUAGUUGGCGGGGUAAAGGCCCACCAAGGCGACGAUCCGUAGCUGGUCUGAGAGGAUGAUCAGCCACACUGGAACUGAGACACGGUCCAGGCUCCUACGGGAGGCAGCAGUGGGGAAUAUUGGACAAUGGGCGCAAGCCUGAUCCAGCCAUACCGCGUGGGUGAAGAAGGCCUUCGGGUUGUAAAGCCCUUUGUUGGGAAAGAAAAGCAGCAGGUUAAUACCCCGCUGUUCUGACGGUACCCAAAGAAUAAGCACCGGCUAACUUCGUG
rnacentral:rRNA from 1 species